rnacentral:rRNA from 1 species
AUGCACGCUGGCGGCGUGCCUAAUACAUGCAAGUCGAGCGAACAGACGAGGAGCUUGCUCCUCUGACGUUAGCGGCGGACGGGUGAGUAACACGUGGAUAACCUACCUAUAAGACUGGGAUAACUUCGGGAAACGGGAGCUAAUACCGGAUAAUAUAUUGAACCGCAUGGUUCAAUAGUGAAAGACGGUUUUGCUGUCACUUAUAGAUGGAUCCGCGCCGCAUUAGCUAGUUGGUAAGGUAACGGCUUACCAAGGCAACGAUGCGUAGCCGACCUGAGAGGGUGAUCGGCCACACUGGAACUGAGACACGGUCCAGACUCCUACGGGAGGCAGCAGUAGGGAAUCUUCCGCAAUGGGCGAAAGCUUGACGGAGCAACGCCGCGUGAGUGAUGAAGGUCUUCGGAUCGUAAAACUCUGUUAUUAGGGAAGAACAAAUGUGUAAGUAACUAUGCACGUCUUGACGGUACCUAAUCAGAAAGCCACGGCUAACUACGUG